rnacentral:misc_RNA from 1 species
GAUGAAGAACGUAGCGAAAUGCGAUAAGUAAUGUGAAUUGCAGAAUUCAGUGAAUCAUCGAAUCUUUGAACGCAUCUUGCGCUCCUUGGUAUUCUGAGGAGCAUGCCUGUUUGAGUGUCAUUAAAUUCUCAACUACACUGACUUUGAAUUGGUGUGGCUUGGAUUUGGGGGGAAAAUUGUUGUGGGCUUUUUGUAUAGUCUGCUCCCCUGAAAUUGAUUAGCGGUACCUUAGUGGAACUGUCUACAGGUGUGAUAAUUAUCUACAUCUUAGACAUCUGCUGGAAUGCUGCUUUCUAAACCUUACUUGUAUUGACAAUCUUGACCUCAAAUCAGGUAGGACUACCCGCUGAACUUAAGCAUAUCAAUAAGCGGAGGA